UCACUUUCAUUUAUUUUCUUUCAUUUCUCUCUCUUUUCUCAAACCCGCCUCUAUUUUCUCUUUUCUGAUCUUUGGAAAACUGAUGUUCAAUGAACUGUUCAUUGAGUUUAAGGUUUCGAUUUCAGUUUUGAUCCGUGUAAGUCAUCAUCAGUUGUUUUCUAUUUUAGGGUUUCAUCAUCUGUUAUAUCAGAUUUUAGGGUUUCAUCAUUAGGGUUUUGUUCAUGUUUUGGGUUCGAUUUGUAGAGAGCUUUCUGAAGCUGGUUACUCUGAUGUUGAAGUUAGGGUUAGAGAAUAUAACGACGGCAAGGGUCGUGUUGUCUCGAACUUAUCGACCAAAAACAAACCCUAGAAAUUGGUUUCAAUACACACAAAAUCGAAAUCUCCCGACAAGAAAUUCAAUUUCAUCAACAAAUAUUGCACUUACCUCAGAAGCUACACUCAUCCCCGACUCCUCCUCCACUUCACUUUUCAUCACACCGUCAAUGGCGUCUAACGGUGGCGAAAGUGGAGGCACUGUUAACGAUGGUAGUUAGGUUUUCAAAAUUUUUUCAUCAAGCAGUGUCAAAAUUCGAAGAGGUGAUAUCAGAAAGUGGCCUAUCAAUGGUACUUCUGAUGCCAUUGUCUAGUGGGUUUAGUGGCCUGACAGUGGUGGUGGUAGUCAGAACUGCAAACCCCACUCCAGAGGUGGUGAUGGUGGUGCAGGGCGGUACGGAGGUGGUCGGAUUGGUAACCAGAAAUGUGAACUUCAUUAAUUGUGAAGGUGUGGUCAGAAUUGUAGACCUCAUUCUGGAGGUGGUGGGAUUGGUGAUCUGAUAUGUAAACCUCAUUGUGGUGGUGGUGGUGACUAAUAAGAGCUCCGAAUUGGGAGAAUUUUACUAUUAGGUGGAGGUGUAGGUGCUGGUAAAUGCAGCUAAUGAACAGAUGCUUGUAGGUGGAGGAGUUGAUGGAGGUAAACACGCAUCUCCCCAGUUGAAUAAGCGUUCUGCAUCUGGUUCAGUUAAGAAAUGGGUUGAGUUGAAUUUGAAGGAUGUUGAUCCGCAAACAUUCAUUGGAAUGUCAUGCAAGGAAAUUAGUUAGGGGCAUUAUGCCGUUCAUUGAUUGGGUUAUAUCAUUUUUUAGUUAUUGUGUCUUUCUUCUGAAUUUUAACUGGUUGAAUUAUAGGUAUACCAGCCUUUAGAUAAAGAUUGGUAUCCAGGAUCAGUUGCGGGAUUUGAUCCAGAGACCAAGGCGCAUCAGGUUAAAUAUGAAGACGGAGAUUGUGAAAAUGUAACUCUUUCAACUGAAAAGAUAAAGUUUUAUCUUUCUCGUGAGGAAAUGCAGUCUUUAAAACUGAGACCGCGUUCUGCGAACAGCGACAUUGGCGGCCUUGGCUAUGAUGAGAUGCUUGUGCUGGCUGCGCAGAGCUUGAAACUGGGAUAUAAUAUGGGAUAAAUUAACAGGUUACGCAAUGUGGCCAGCAGUUGUUGUGAAUGGAUCAGAUAUUGCUGCAUUUAAAGCUCUUAAAUCCAAUGUAAUUGAGAAAUCAGUUUGCGUACAGUUCUUUGGAACCCACGACUUUGCAAGGAUCACUGUGAACUGAAUUUAGGAACUUAUGUAUUCCCUUAGAAUUUGGUACUUGGAAGAGUUUGUGUUCUACUUUGACAUGAAGUGGUUGAAUGUGGAUGAUGGAUGGAAUGAAAGUUGGACGCAGGUUAAUUGAAAUUUCGGCUUAUGUAGUCCCAACAUAGCUCAGGCUUCUUCUUGUUGGACAUUGCUAGCUCUCCUUAAUGCUCCCCUUCCCAUGACAUAUGCUCCUGCGGAGUUCCGAAUUAUAAUUCCAAUACCAUCUGACAAAGACCUAGAAUUAUAAGCAGCAUCAAUAUUAAUUUUCAAAAACUGCAUAGGAGGGAGGUUCCCAAUUAUGAUGUAAGGUAUAAUUAUGAAUGUUGGAAUGAUUAUGAGUAGUAGGAGAGAUUCCUAGAUGAUGUUGUGCAACAUGUGCAUUAACUGGAUAGAUGAAAGAGUUAUGAUUGGGAGUUAUGUUGCUAAAAAAAGCUCUACAUCUGAGUUUCUGAAUGAAAUGUAUAAUGCACAUGGCUAAUUGUAUAAUCUGAGGGGUCUUCUGAAUGUUGAUGAUGGAAUCUUUUAGCUGCCAAGUCUGAAUCCAAGAUAAGAUAGAAGAAUGCUGCAAAAUGGAAUGAAAUUGUUGAGGAAAAAAAUACUGCCAUAUUGCCUUAGAGAAAGGCAAUGAAGAAACAUAUGAUCCAGGUUUUCUGUCUGGUGUAGACUGCAAAGCACACAAUGAAAUCAGUAUUAUGCAUUGGGAACUGCUUUAGAAAAUUUUGAAACUCGUAAGGUCCUUUCAACUUCCAGAAGGAUAACCAAAAAUGUUGAGAUAAGCCCAUAGAGUUGUCUGUGAUCAAAUCCUUGUCACAAAGCAUCUUGUAAGUUGAGGCAGUUGUAAAAAUACUAGUACUUUUAAAAAGCCAUUAAUUUAUCUUCUUGAUCUAA